AGCUUUAGUGAUUCUAGGACAGAUUACUGAGUAAAGAAGUGGGUUUUAAGAUAUGAUUUAAAGGUGGUACUACCAAGUGAUUGAUGCAUGAGGCAAAAUGGAUAUGGAGGAAUGGAGAAAGUAUCAGGAUGUAAUAAAAGCAAAGGAUUGGGAGUAGCCAGGGGAAUUAGUGGGUAGGCAGAUGAAGAGAGAAGAGAAGUGGGUAGUGAGAAGCAUUUGUUCAGCGUGGAGAGUGACUGUUUUGGAAUAAGUUGCAAUGUUAGCACGGCUAGAUGUGCAAACACCUACACGCGAUUCACAAGAUAAACCCAGAGAUUUCAAAUAGGAAUCUACAGUGUCAAACAUAUUCUGUCCUGUUGUGGCCUUUCGGUAUUCUCUGCAACAGAAGAAUUGCUGUAGUAUUUUUGUUGUAAAAAAUGAAUGAAAAAGAAGGG